rnacentral:rRNA from 1 species
CGUGGGUGAAGAAGGCCUUCGGGUUGUAAAGCCCUUUUGUACGGGAAGAAAAGCCGACGGUUAAUAACCGGUGGUCAUGACGGUACCGUAAGAAUAAGCACCGGCUAACUUCGUGC